AUGCACCUCGCCUGUCUCAUCCUCAUCGUCUUCCUGGGACAGCUCCUGGGCACCACGGGACAGGUCACGGUCACCCAGGAAGAUGGACCAGUCAUGGUGAAGCAGGGACACACCUUCCAGACCACCUGCAAAUACCAGACCAGUUAUCCUCCUUCUUUGCUCUGGUAUAAGCUGCAGAAAGGCCAAGGCCCACAGCUGGUCUCCUAUCAAGCAGGGCCUGGCUCCAAGCGCAAUGGCCGUAUCACCACGCACCUGAACACCACGAGGAAAUCCAGUGUCCUGCGGGUGGAGGAAGUGCAGGGCUCUGACACUGCCUUGUACCUCUGUGCUGUGCAAGACACCCUGCUGCAGGGAGCUUCCUCAGCUAUGUGUGCAUGGUGGAUUUGUUUUCGAUUCUGUGACGGUGAUGUGCGGGAUGGGACACGGCUGUCUCUUGGCUCUGGCGAUGCCGAAAUUGUUGCGUGUCUGAUUGUGCUGGUGCUGUGA